rnacentral:rRNA from 1 species
UACAGAGGCCUCAAGCGUUAUCCGGAAUUAUUGGGCGUAAAGGGUGUGUAGGUGGUUAUGUUAGUCUCUUGUUAAAUUCUUCGGCUUAACCGGGGGCAUGCGAGGGAAACGGCAUGACUAGAGUAUGCAAGGGGUCUGUAGAACUCAUGGAGUAGGGGUGAAAUCCGUUGAUAUCAUGGGGAAUACCAAAAGCGAAGGCAGCAGACUGGUGCAUUACUGACACUGAAACACGAAAGCGUGGGUAGCGAAUGGG